rnacentral:rRNA from 1 species
GUUUGAUCCUGGCUCAGAGUGAACGCUGGCGGCAGGCCUAACACAUGCAAGUCGAGCGGCAGCGCAGCAGUAGCAAUACUGUGGGCGGCGAGCGGCGGACGGGUGAGGAACACAUCGGAAUCUACCCUGUCGUGGGGGACAACGUAGGGAAACUUACGCUAAUACCGCAUACGACCUUUGGGUGAAAGUGGGGGACCGCAAGGCCUCACGCGAUUGGAUGAGCCGAUGUCCGAUUAGCUAGUUGGCGGGGUAAAGGCCCACCAAGGCGACGAUCGGUAGCUGGUCUGAGAGGACGACCAGCCACACUGGAACUGAGACACGGUCCAGACUCCUACGGGAGGCAGCAGUGGGGAAUAUUGGACAAUGGGGGCAACCCUGAUCCAGCCAUGCCGCGUGGGUGAAGAAGGCCUUCGGGUUGUAAAGCCCUUUUGUACGGGAAGAAAAGCUUUCGGUGAACAUCCGGGAGUCAUGACGGUACCGUAAGAAUAAGCACCGGCUAACUUCGUGCCAGCAGCCGCGGUAAUACGAAGGGUGCAAGCGUUACUCGGAAUUACUGGGCGUAAAGCGUGCGUAGGCGGUAUGUUAAGUCUGAUGUGAAAUCCCCGGGCUCAACCUGGGAAUGGCAUUGGAUACUGGCAGGCUAGAGUACGGUAGAGGGUGGUGGAAUUCCCGGUGUAGCAGUGAAAUGCGUAGAGAUCGGGAGGAACAUCUGUGGCGAAGGCGGCCACCUGGACCAGUACUGACGCUGAGGCACGAAAGCGUGGGGAGCAAACAGGAUUAGAUACCCUGGUAGUCCACGCCCUAAACGAUGCGAACUGGAUGUUGGGUGCAACUUGGCACACAGUAUCGAAGCUAACGCGUUAAGUUCGCCGCCUGGGGAGUACGGUCGCAAGACUGAACUCAAAGGAAUUGACGGGGCCCGCACAAGCGGUGGAGUAUGUGGUUUAAUUCGAUGCAACGCGAGACCUUACCUGGCUUGACAUCCGCGGACUUGCAGAGAUGCCUUGUGCUCGGAGCGCGAGAAAGUGCUGCAUGCUGUCGUCAGCUCGUGUCGUGGAGAUGUUGGGUAGUCCCGCACGAGCGC